rfam:Caenorhabditis japonica strain DF5081 Contig3979.2, whole genome shotgun sequence.
GUCUUGAGCUGGAAAAGUGCUAUAAAAUCGAGUAAUUUACGAUAUUAUGCACAUUUUCUAGUUCAAGAC